CUUUACUAUAGCUUUGCAGUGGCAUUAGAGGUGACAUGUGUAGCAUAGGUGGGAGACUUUGAAGCCGGGGCGCUAGCCUUGGUGGAGUCACAAUGUGAAAUACCACCCUUGUUAUCUCUGAUGUCUAACCUCAUCUGUUAUCCAGAUGAGGGACCCUGCAUGGUGGGUAGUUUGACUGGGGCGGUCGCCUCCCAAAUUGUAACGGAGGCGCACAAUGGCUAGCUCAACCUGGUCGGAAAUCAGGUUUAGAGUGUAUUGGCAUAAGCUAGCUUAACUGCAAGACUGACAAGUCGAGCAGAUACGAAAGUAGGUCAAAGUGAUCCGGUGAUUCCGUAUGGAAGGGUCAUCGCUCAACGAAUAAAAGGUA
rnacentral:rRNA from 1 species